GCCGUAGGAGUGUAUGAGUGCGGCGCGGCGACAGGGGACUCAAUAAUAGCAGUCAUGUCAACAGAAGACAGAGAUCGGUUGGUGACGGUGGACGUCCCGCUUCAAGAAGUCGAGACGGAGAUUAAUUACAAAGUACCGUGGUUUUGGAUAAGCAUGGCCCUGCUUGUCUUCUUUGCACCUGCGGUAGUCCUUCUACUUAGACACUUGUGGCCUGUGUUAGUUCACCAAAACACAUCCAGCCCGUCAUGGCCCUACACCACUUCUGCGAACACCCACUUAGGAUCGUCCUCGUCUUCUCCACAGCGCUUGCUUUCCUCAUAGCUCUUACGUACAUAGUGGAGAGUCUGUGGCCAGCUGGGGAAGAGCAUAACGAUGAAGACCAGCACAUUAUCAGCUGACUGUGACGUCAUCUCCGUAGCUGACACUCGUCCGAGAUAAUAUUGCCACCGAGGGAAGUAACCAAAGUGUACCUAUACUUAGGCUCAAUAAUGAAACAAGUAUAACUUGAAACAGGUAUAACAAAGCAACUCUAAACGUUUUGAGGUUUUACAAAACAUUUCUUCGUCUUUAUUUUUACUCUUUAAUUUGUAUAUAACCAUUGACUAUACACAGAAUAGACUUCCCAAGUAAUGUAAAAAUUUGAAGCCAAAAAACAUGGUGCAAUCUGUUGAGAUGGUCGGCAACUAAUGACAAUUUCUGUGUUAGGUGAUAAAUCAAUCAGCUGUUUCCUAUGAUAAUGUAUUGGUUUUUAUUAAUACUAGUGUACCGGUUGCUCGAAUUCGAGCAGUUGCUAAGUAUUACAGGCGUUAUUUUAAAACGAAUAACAGUAAUAAUUUCUGAUGACUUUAACUCAAAGAUUAUGGAAAUACUCAAGGUGUACAUAACGUAUCGAUAUAAUCAACAUUUCUUGUAAAUAUCCUAUAAUUUUUCAAAAGCUGAUCUUGUUUUUUAUUUUAGUGUUUUCUAAAAAUAGCCAUACUCAUCAUAGCCGCAUUAGGUUGUCCAUAAUAACGAUUAGAAUAAAAAAAAACAUUAUUUUUAUUUCUUCUCCUUGGUGGUGUUCUAUGACUUUCCUAUGUUUCAAUAGUUUGCAAAUCGGCUCUUUCAAUGAUUACUAAGAAAUGCAGCACAGUGUUAAUUCAGUUUUCUUUUUAGUAUAUCAAAUUAUCCAGGCUCUCUCGCUUUUUUCCAUUGUAAUAUUUACGCCAACCCAAAUUCAAAUAGUAAAUAUUUCAUUUCAACCAAGCCAGUAAAAUGUUUGUAGCAAACUGUUAAAUUAGCAAAUGUAUUGACUGUUUACAAUUAACAUAUGUUCUACUUCUCACUUUUAAUUUCUGACAACAGCUGAAGUUUCAUAACAAUGUUUGUUUCCCAUGUUAAUCUUAUGGAGAAAUACAAAACUUUAAAGGUCUCCAGGGCCUCACUCUCUAAUUAUUUCCCUAAAAAGCAAGUUUCCUGCAGAACCUCACGUUACGCUCUUUCCAAUGACACAAAAAACAUGUCAAUCGGUUCAGUAGUUUCGGAGGAGUAAUUGUCACAAAAAACCUGCUUGCGUAUUAAAUAAGUACUAGUGAACCUGUGCGGCUCAAUGCCCCGCAAAAGAACAUAGGAAUUUAGAAAACAAAUUCAUCGUGUAAUAUAUUGGCUCGACGUCGAAAAUUAAAUACAGUAAUAAUAAAGCCUUAGAAGGGAAGCAGUCCAGCCAUUUUCUGACUUUAUGUGUAUUAUAUUUACUAAAUUAAAUAAAUAAUAGUAAAUAAUAGUAAUAAAUAAUAGUAAAUUAAUAAGUGUUCAAGUUCAAGUAUGUUAUAGGCAGCGAGCAAGGUUAUAGGGUAAACUUAGUUAUUUUUUGAAGAUUUUUAAAAGACAUUAAAAAACAUUUUAUUAUAUCCAACCAAUAGGCCUAUGUAGCAUAUUUUGAGGGUCAUAAAAAUGCUGCUUGAAGAAAACACGCUUUUAAAAAUAAACACUAAAAAAAUAUUUUAUCCCAAAAGCACUUCCAUGAUGAAUACUACGAUUUUAGUCUUAAAGUUACCUUCAGGAAGAUUACCCUGUGGUCAGAGUUACUGUAACGAAUAUGCGUAUCCUAUUAAAAGAUGUAGCUUUACUUAAAACAACAUAUAAGUUAAUAUAGUUGCUCAUGACUGAAAUUGGUCUGGGUAGAAACAUGCUGCUCCUAAAUUACAGCGCUUGUGCUGCAAAUGCCAAAGAUAGCAGAAAUCAGCAUUUUUCCAUAUUAAAAGGUACGUUUGUUUCAGACGGGCACAUUUUUAUCCUCGAAAUCAAAAUAUGUCCCCACUCACUUGUUCCAGUUAAGACUUCACAUUCUAUUAAGUGGUUAACCGUUCUGAUCACAUGAAGCCUUGUGCCAUUUAUGAGGCCCCUUUUAGCGAAUUUCCCAUAUAGGGAAUAAGCUUUUACCGUAGUACUCAUGGUAAG